CAGAGCCCACAACAACAAUGACUUUUAUCACCAUCUUCAUCUGGGCACUCACCUUCUGCACUCAAGAAGCUACAGGGCAGUACACUGUGACUCAGACUCCUGCAGUGAAAACUGUUCUUCCAGGAGAGUCAGUGUCACUGAGCUGUAAAGUCAGCAGUGCUGUGUAUAACAGCAACCAUCUGCACUGGUACCUGCAGAAACCUGGAGAAGCUCCUAAACUCCUCAUCUACUAUGCAAGCACCCGACACACAGGGAUUCCAAAUCGAUUCAGUGGCAGUGGAUCUGGGACUGACUUCACUCUGACCAUCAGUGGAGUCCAGGCUGAAGAUGCAGGAGAUUACUACUGUCAGAGUGCACACUACCCUAACAGUGUCUACGUAUGGACUUUUGGCAGCGGCACCAGACUGCACGUUGGAAAAAACGUCUCCCCCACCCUCACGGUCCUGCCCCCCUCUAGUGUGGAGCUGUCCAGCAAGAGAACGGCCACGCUGAUGUGCCUGGCCAACAAGGGCUUCCCCUCAGACUGGACGCUGCGCUGGAAAGUGGACGGUAGCAGCAGGAGCUCGGAGGCGAGCGGCGGGGUCCUGGAGAAGGACGGCCUGUACAGCUGGAGCAGCACCCUGACUCUCUCUGUGGACGAGUGGAACAAGGCGGGGUCACUGACCUGUGAGGCCACCCAGGGCUCCCAGGCUCCACUUACUCACACACUGAGGAGAGAGCAGUGUUCUGAGUAGCACCUCACACACUCCUGUGUAGAGCGGCUGAAUGCUCUGUUUUUACUCUCUUCUGCACUCAGCUCUUCUCUUUCUUACUCACUGAUUACUUGUAGACUAACAGUGUGCUGUGCUUCAGCUCAUGUGUGAAUCCAUUCUCCAGACUGAGCUUUU